GACGAACGCUGGCGGCGUGCCUAACACAUGCAAGUCGAACGGUGACCGAGGAAGCUUGCUCCCUCCGGAUUAGUGGGUGACGGGCGAGUAAGACAUGAGCCAUCAGCUCCGCACUCUGGGAUAAGCGUGUGAAAAGACGUCUAAUAAUGGAUAAGACGAGCGAGGGCAUUCUCUCCGCGUGGUUCGAACUUCGGGUCGGGAUGGGCGCGCGGCUUAUCAGCUUGUUGGUGAGGUAACGGCUCACAAAGGCGACGCCGGGUAGCCGGCCUGAGAGGGGGACCAGCCACACUGGGACUGAGACACGGGCCAGAGUGCAACGUGAGGCAUCGGUGGCGAAUAUUGCACAAUGGGCGCAAGCCUGAUGCAGCGACGCCGGGUGAGGGACGACGGCCUUCGGGUUAUAAACCGCUUUUGGCAGGGAAGAAGCGAAAGUGACGGUACCUGAAGAAAAAGCACCGGCUAACUACGUG
rnacentral:rRNA from 1 species